GUGCGUUCGACGACCAGCUGCAAUGGCUGUAGUUGUGUGGGUACUAGUCCUGCUUCUGGCAGGCUUUAUGGCAAGCUCCGAAGCGAAACCGGGUGUGAGGCCAUAUCACUUUCCAUGGAUUUGUCCAAGAAACGACUACAAAUGCCAACAGCGCUGCGUCGCCAAGCACUUCAAUGCAGGAUUCUGCGCUGGACAACAGUGCAUAUGCAAAAACUGAUAGUCACGGGACCCCGGCACAUUGAUGUUGAGCAUUCACACAAUAAAUCGGUUGAGAGCUGAGUAUGUAUA